rnacentral:rRNA from 1 species
AGGGUUUGAUUCUGGCUCAGGACGAACGCUGGCGGCGUGCCUAAUACAUGCAAGUGGAACGCAUGAUUGAUACCGGAGCUUGCUCCACCAUUAAUCGUGAGUCGCGAACGGGUGAGUAACGCGUAGGUAACCUACCUCAUAGCGGGGGAUAACUAUUGGAAACGAUAGCUAAUACCGCAUAACAGUAUUUAUCACAUGGUAAAUGCUUGAAAGGAGCAAUUGCUUCACUAUGAGAUGGACCUGCGUUGUAUUAGCUAGUUGGUGGGGUAACGGCUCACCAAGGCAUCGAUACAUAGCCGACCUGAGAGGGUGAUCGGCCACACUGGGACUGAGACACGGCCCAGACUCCUACGGGAGGCAGCAGUAGGGAAUCUUCGGCAAUGGGGGGAACCCGCAACGAGCGCAACCCCUAUUGUUAGUUGCCAUCAUUCAGUUGGGCACUCUAGCGAGACUGCCGGUAAUAAACCGGAGGAAGGUGGGGAUGACGUCAAAUCAUCAUGCCCCUUAUGACCUGGGCUACACACGUGCUACAAUGGCUGGUACAACGAGUCGCAAGUCGGUGAUGACAAGCUAAUCUCUUAAAGCCAGUCUCAGUUCGGAUUGUAGGCUGCAACUCGCCUACAUGAAGUCGGAAUCGCUAGUAAUCGCGGAUCAGCACGCCGCGGUGAAUACGUUCCCGGGCCUUGUACACACCGCCCGUCACACCACGAGAGUUUGUAACACCCGAAGUCGGUGAGGUAACCACUUGGAGCCAGCCGCCUAAGGUGGGAUAGAUGAUUGGGGUGAAGUCGUAACAAGGUAGCCGUAUCGGAAGGUGCGGCUGGAUCACCUCCUUUCU